CGCACAAGCGGUGGAUUAUGUGGAUUAAUUCGAUGCAACGCGAAAACCUUACCUACCCUUGACAUGCUAGGAAGUCCGCAGAGAUGUGGAUGUGCCCGAAAGGGAACCUAGACACAGGUGCUGCAUGGCUGUCGUCAGCUCGUGUCGUGAGAUGUUGGGUUAAGUCCCGCAACGAGCGCAACCCUUGCCAUUAGUUGCGACAUUUAGUUGAGCACUCUAAUGGGACCGCCGGUGACAAACCGGAGGAAGGUGGGGAUGACGUCAAGUCCUCAUGGCCCUUAUGGGUAGGGCUUCACACGUAAUACAAUGGUCGGUACAGAGGGCUGCCAACCCGCGAGGGGGAGCUAAUCCCAGAAAGCCGAUCGUAGUCCGGAUUGUAGUCUGCAACUCGACUGCAUGAAGCCGGAAUCGCUAGUAAUCGCGGAUCAGCAUGUCGCGGUGAAUACGUUCCCGGGUCUUGUACACACCGCCCGUCACACCAUGGGAGUGGGUUCCACCAGAAGUAGGUAGCCUAACCGCAAGGAGGGCGCUUACCACGGUGAGAUUCAUGACUGGGGUGAAGUCGUAACAAGGUA
rnacentral:rRNA from 1 species